rnacentral:rRNA from 1 species
ACGGUGGAGUAACACGUAUCCAACCUGCCGUCUACUCUUGGACAGCCUCUGAAAGGAAGAUUAAUACAAGAUGGCAUCAUGAGUUCACAUGUUCACAUGAUUAAAGGUAUUCCGGUAGACGAUGGGGAUGCGUUCCAUUAGAUAGUAGGCGGGGUAACGGCCCACCUAGUCUUCGAUGGAUAGGGGUUCUGAGAGGAAGGUCCCCCACAUUGGAACUGAGACACGGUCCAA